rnacentral:lncRNA from 1 species
UCAUUUUAGUUUUUGGUAUCUGUAGCUUGCAACGACGAAUCAAUUCUCAUGAGCUUGACAAUGAGGCACUUGCUUUUAAGCCCGUUUUGGGUCCCAUGCUUGCGAGGAUAUACAACAAUCCUUAAAAAAAGGAAGAAAAUCAGUUUCGACUGCAGAAAAUUUUACAGUUUUGGGGCUCCAAGGAAGUCUAUGAUCAGGAUACUAUUCGUGCACUUGAAAAUGAGAUGAUGAGUGGACUACCUACAAAUUUUGCUGGUCCUUGGAGGGAACUACUGGCUGCAGAUCCUUCUGCUGGUGCAGGUAGUUGCUGCUAAUUUAGCUGUAAUAAAGAGUACCAUUAAAAGAAUGUAUCGCAAUUUUUACUUCUGUAUCCUUUUUUUUCAAGGAUUGUCACACCGAGUAGCAAACCAGAGUGUUUUACAGUGGAUGAGCAGGUGCCUCCUUUACCUAAUUUAGCCAAUCAAGAUAAAGUUGUUCCUCCAGUACCAUCUGCAGAUCGAUUUCAUAUUCCAGGGUCGAUGCCUGUGCUGUCCUCUGUUCCACAUGGAAAUCUACAAGUUGCAGUUCAUCCCAUCCCAGCAUCAACUGCCAAUGGAGGUGGAAAAUUGCCUCCAUACCCCUUGUUUCCUCCUGGUCUUAGUCCUGGUAUGGUCAGGAAGAUGUAGAUUGGUAGUGGGGUGUCUUACUCUCCGAUAUGCCCUUUGGAUAUCCCCACCAUUAUACCACCCUCCACCGUAUCAGAGUCUGAGAUUCUUGAGAGUGUGUCCAAAUUUUUGAGGGAGAUCGGAGAGGUUAAUCCAUCAGAAGGUCCUGUUAAACCAUCUGAUUCAGCCAAUGAUUAUGAUGACUAUGAGAGAGAACUUGCUGUUCGCAAUUGAGGGGCUUGCAUCCAUCCACCUUCAAACCUCCAAGUUGACCCUGAAAUUGGGAAUUACUCUGAUGGAGGUGUGGAGCAGAAGCCUGGAUUGAAUAGCUCAGGACGGUUAGGACUUGGAGCCACAGAUAAUCCAGAUGAGUCAAGUCAAUACGAUGAUGUCUACACUUC